AUGGCUUUUGUCUAAUGUAGUUUGUGUGUGUGUGUGUAUACACACAUAUCUACAUAUAAAUACACACACACGUAUAUAUGCAAGAAAAACAGAAGCUCAGAAA
rnacentral:miRNA from 1 species